UCUUGGGGGGCCACGGUAAUGGCUGGCUUCUAAACUGAAGGUCCAAAUUUCAUAAACCCUUCUCGGCCUCGUGCUUCUUAAAACCCAAACUAAUUUGCUCUGGCCUUCUGUCACUCUGUCCCUCCAAUUCAAAAAAUGAACAUUCUUUUCCCCAAUCCCCUUAGUCAGCUCUCAAAAUCUGCUUCGCAGAAAAUGUUUAGGCAUUUCUUUUGCACAAGAUCACCAAAAUCCCUCGACCGAUCUGACCCUUCAAACAAUCUUUACAAAAGAAUUUCACCUCUGGGUGAUCCAAAAAUCUCAGUGGUGCCUGUGCUUGAUCAGUGGGCUGCCGAAGGAAGACCUGUCCACAAAGAAUAUCUAGAGAGCAUCAUAAAGGAAUUGAAAGCAUACAAAAGAUACAAACAUGCCCUCGAGGUAUCACGGUGGAUGACCGAAAAAAGAUACAUGCCUUUGAGAGAGCUGGAUGUUUCCAUUCAAAUUAAUUUGAUUCACAGAGUACAUGGCUUGAAGGAAGCUGAGAACUGUUUCAAUAAUGUCUCUAGUAAGCUAAAAGGCUUUAAUGCUCACAUAGCCCUCCUUAACUGUUAUGUCCAUGAAAAAUCAGCGGAAAAAGCAGAGGCCUUAAUGCAGAAAAUGAGGGAAAUGGGGUAUGCUAAUUCACCACUACCCUACAAUCUCAUGAUGAAUCUCCAUUAUGGCUUGGGAAACUGUAAGAAGCUAGAUGAUCUAAUGAAUGAAAUGGAAGGAAGGGGAAUUAAAUUUGACCCAUUCACCCUCACCAUCCGGUUAAGUGCUUAUGCGGCUGCUUCUGAUGCUGAAGGUGUAGAUAAAAUUGCUAAGAUGAUGGAAAUUGAUCCGCUGAUUGUUCCAGACUUUAGUGCCUAUGCUGUUGUAGCCCAGGGGUACUUAAAAGUUGGUCAGUUGGAUAAAGCUUUGCCAAUUUUGAACAAAAUGGAGGAAUUAGCAGUAACCACAAGGAAAGGAAAAUUUCCGUAUGAUUUCCUGCUCAAAUUGUAUGCUGGAAUGCAGAGGAGAGAUGAUGUGCUCCGAAUAUGGGAAAUGUACAAGCAAAAACAGAAGAUCAAUAACAAGGGUUACAUGACCAUGAUGAGCUCACUACUGAGCUUUGGCGACAUUGGAGGCAUUGAGGACAUCUUUAAAGAAUGGGAAUCAAGGGGAUUAUCCUAUGAUUUUCGGGUUCCAAAUGUUUUGAUACAUGCUUAUUGCAGAAAUGGGGAAUUGGAGAAGGCUGAGGCCCUUAUAGACAAGGGGUUAUCAGAAGGGGGUGAACCUUUUUCAACAACAUGGUUUUAUAUGGCACUUGGAUACAUAAAGGAUAAUCAAAUUUCAAAAGCUGUGGAAGCAUUGAAGAAGGCAAUCUUGAAAUGCCCUCCUGAUCACAAGCCUAAUACAGAAACAUUGAACACCUGUCUGGAACAUAUGGAGAGGGGGGAUGUGGAAAAGUCAGAGGAGUUCAUAAAGCUUAUAAAGAAAGAGAGCUUAUAUUCACUGGCUGUUCAGGAUAGCUCCAUGGAUUUUAUCAAGUCUGGUGAAUCUCAAUCUUGAUUGCAUGGCUGAUAUCGAAGAAAUUGCAGCAUCAAGUUUUCAAUUUCUUGAACGGCAUUACAUUAUGAAGAGCAUAUAUAUAAUGAUACAUACACCUUGCUGAUUGGGUUUUCAACCGCUCAUGAUAGCUCAAUUUCAGGCGUGGAGGGAUUCUCUCACUACCUGCCAACACCUGUAUAUCAGAUUUCACAUGGGAGUCCUUGUCAAAUGUUUAAGAGGUGAAUCCUCCUUGCAUGCCCUACAAUGCCCGAUCUGAUUCUUGCAUCUGCCUUCAUCAAUGAACGUGGUACAAUCAACCACUAGUAAUUUCAUUUUUGUCCCUACAUAUCAAGGGCCAAGCUACAGCUUCUUGAUUGGGAUAAGUAGUUUAUUGUACUCUGGUUCUACUCUCAUGGCCCAUGAAAUUAUGUCUCAAUUAUGUAAUAUGAAGAAUAUUCAACCUGAAAAAGCUUCCAACCAAGAGAUAACCUGAGAAGGGUAUCAACUUGAUAAUUCAAGAUGUCCUUUUUCCAGCUGAAUCAGCUUGAUGCGUAGCUUACAUCAUUCUGGCAAAUCCAUUAUUCUUAUCCGAAAAUGGAUGCAAUUGUAUCAAAUGCUGACAAUCCAUUUGUCAGACACUGAAAGAUUUGCAACGCUGAUCAUCUGCUGUGAUAGGAUAUCAUGUAAAAUGAGAAGAAAAGUUUGAAGAUGACAAUUUGCCAUUUGGGCUCGUUUUGCGCAAUCUUUGAAGAUAAUUAGAGCUUCCAAUGCACAACAUUUUGACUU